UACUUUUUAACUGUCUUCUUUGUUAUUUUUCUUUAUUGGUUUGCCGUUACUCCUCUUUGAUAAUUAGUACCUAAAAUAGUCGGUCAAGGCAAAGAAGGUUGUUAGCAAAAAAAUUAUAUAAAGGUUAAAUUAUUUAAAAUAAUCAAAAUUAUUCAUAGCAAAUAACAAUAAGUGGAAUUAUUCGGCAUAUUUUUUCGUGAAGUAAAGUCGCCCGACCAUAUGUACUUUUGGGAUUGCUUAUGGAAGACGAAUUUAGGAAUUAAAAAAAGCUUGAUUCGGUAUUCCAUUUUAGUACUAUCUAGAAUCAAUGCAGUUGCUUAAAACUUAGGCUUCAAAAUCAGGUUGAAAAUCUUUUACUGGCCAUUAGGAAACUCUUAAACCCUAAUCCAUCUCGUUAAUUCGUCUUCCUGAAGAAACACAACAAUGGCGAGGCCAAGAUGUUACCUGGAUGUAAGUAUUGGUGACGAGCUUGAAGGUCGCAUUGUCAUUGAACUUUUCAACGACGUCGUUCCCAAAACUGCUGAGAAUUUUCGAGCUCUUUGUACCGGUGAGAAAGGCAUCGGUCCCCACUCCGGCGUUCCACUUCAUUACAAGGGUAGUCCGUUUCAUCGUGUCAUUAAGAAUUUUAUGAUCCAAGGAGGAGACAUAUCUUCUGGAGAUGGUACUGGAGGUGAAUCAAUAUAUGGAUUGAAAUUUGAGGAUGAAAACUUUGAGCUGAAACAUGAAAGGAAGGGAUUGUUGUCAAUGGCUAACAGUGGGCCUAAUACCAAUGGAUCUCAGUUUUUCAUAACUACAACUCAAACUUCUCAUUUAGAUGGGAAGCAUGUUGUGUUUGGUAGAGUGAUCAAAGGUAUGGGGGUUGUUCGCUCUAUUGAGCAUGUCAACACAGAAGCUAAUGAUCGUCCUGCCCAGGAUGUUAUUAUUUCUGAUUGUGGUGAAAUCCCUGAGGGGGCUGAUGAUGGUGUUGCGGAUUUGUUCAAGGAUGGUGACAGUUAUCCUGAUUGGCCAGUUGAUCUCGACUGCAGUCCUAAAGAUCUCUCUUGGUGGAUGGAAGCUGUUGAUUCUAUUAAGGCGCUUGGAAAUGAACACUUCAAGAAACAAGACUAUAAAAUGGCUCUGAGGAAGUACAGAAAAGCAUUACAGUAUAUUGAUGAAUGCUGGGAGAAAGAUGGAAUUGAUGAAGAAAAAAGUGCAGCAUUGCGAAAGAUCAAGUCACAGGUUUUCACAAACAGUUCUGCUUGUAAGUUGAAGCUGGGAGAUCUAAAAGGUGCUUUAUUGGACACUGAGUUCGCUGUGCGUGAAUGGGAGAAUAACGUGAAGGCCUUGUUUCGUCAAGGACAGGCACAUAUGGCUCUCAAUGACAUAGAUGCUGCAGCUGUUAGUUUCAAAAAGGCAUUAGAUUUUGAGCCUAAUGAUGCUGGAAUCAAGAGAGAGCUAGCAAUUGCAAAGAAGAAGAUUGCUGAUAGACGUGAUCGAGAGAGAAAAACCUACUCGAAGAUGUUUCAAUAAUUCUCCUCCGUAGUUCACGUCUGUGGAUUCAGGAAAUUUGCUUUACAGGCUUCGCUCUAGCAUAAGCGAGUCUCACCGACCUUCUGUCUGGUGCGUUGCUGAUUGACCCACUGGGGUAAGACUUGCAAAGUAAAAGCCUGAGUCAAGUUUACUGGAGAAGACCAGAAAUUAGGACUGUUUUCACUUUUCAGCUAGUUUUUGAAGAGUUAAAGAUAGGGAGGUAAAAGAAACUGCUUCGGACGAACUUUCUAAAAAUUUUCUUGUACGAAUAACUGUCCAAGUUUAUUUGUUCGGGAUAAUGUAGCGGCCUCAUGUUGGGUUUUAGGUUUUCACAUUUUUUUUUUUGGAGACUUUUGGUUGUCCAUUCGUUUAUGGUGCUAGAUUAAAAGAUUUUAACUCA